UAGCUGUCGGGGUCUUCGGACUUUGGUAGCGCAGCUAACGCGUGAAGUUGACCGCCUGGGGAGUACGGUCGCAAGAUUAAAACUCAAAGGAAUUGACGGGGACCCGCACAAGCGGUGGAUGAUGUGGAUUAAUUCGAUGCAACGCGAAAAACCUUACCUACCCUUGACAUGUCUGAAAUCCCGAAGAGAUUUGGGAGUGCUCGAAAGAGAAUCGGAACACAGGUGCUGCAUGGCCGUCGUCAGCUCGUGUCGUGAGAUGUUGGGUUAAGUCCCGCAACGAGCGCAACCCUUGUCAUUAGUUGCUACGAAAGGGCACUCUAAUGAGACUGCCGGUGACAAACCGGAGGAAGGUGGGGAUGACGUCAGGUCCUCAUGGCCCUUAUGGGUAGGGCUUCACACGUCAUACGAUGCUCGGGACAGAGGGCAGCCAACCCGCGAGGGGGAGCCAAUCCCAGAAACCCGAUCGUAGUCCGGAUUGCAGUCUGCAACUCGACUGCAUGAAGUCGGAAUCGCUAGUAAUCGCGGAUCAGCAUGCCGCGGUGAAUACGUUCCCGGGCCUUGUACACACCGCC
rnacentral:rRNA from 1 species